rnacentral:rRNA from 1 species
AUUGAACGCUGGCGGCAGGCCUAACACAUGCAAGUCGAACGAGUGGCGGACGGGUGAGUAAUGUCUGGGACACUGCCUGAUGGUGGGGGAUAACUACUGGAAACGGUAGCUAAUACCGCAUACCAUCGGAUGUGCCCAGAUGGGAUUAGCUAGUAGGUGGGGUAACGGCUCACCUAGGCGACGAUCCCUAGCUGGUCUGAGAGGAUGCCCAACCACGCUGGAACUGAGACACGGGCAAGACUCCAACGGGAGGCAGCAGGGGGUAAUAUGGGACAAUGGGGGCAAGCCUGAUGCGGCAAUGCCGCGUGUAUGAAGAAGGCAUUCGGGUUGUAAAGUACUGUCAGCGGGGAGGCGGUACCCGCAGAAGAAGCACCGGCUAACUCCGUGCCAGCAGCCGCGGUAAUUC